CCUACGGGUGGCAGCAGUGAGGAAUAUUGGUCAAUGGCCGGGAGGCUGAACCAGCCAAGUCGCGUGAGGGAAGACGGCCCUACGGGUUGUAAACCUCUUUUGUCAGGGAGCAAAGUGCAGGUCGGGACCUGCUGUGAGAGUACCUGAAGAAUAAGCAUCGGCUAACUCCGUGCCAGCAGCCGCGGUAAUACGGAGGAUGCGAGCGUUAUCCGGAUUUAUUGGGUUUAAAGGGUGCGCAGGCGGCGGCAAAAGUCAGCGUUAAAAUCCUGGGGCUCAACCCCGCUCCGCCGUUGAAAAUGUGUGCCUUGAGGGCGCGGAAGGCAGGCGGAAUUCGUGGUGUAGCGGUGAAAUGCUUAGAUAUCACGAAGAACCCCGAUUGCGAAGGCAGCCUGCCGCAGCGUUACUGACGCUGAAGCUCGAAAGCGCGGGUAUCGAACAGGAUUAGAUACCCGAGUAGUC
rnacentral:rRNA from 1 species